UUUGUUGUAGUCUAGGUGGUUAGGAUACUUGGCUCUCACCCGAGAGAUCCGGGUCCAAGUCCCGACAACGGAA
rnacentral:tRNA from 1 species